GACGAACCGUCCUAACGUUGUUCGGAAUCACUGGGCUUAAAGGGCGCGUAGGCGGGUGGCAAAGUCAGGGGUGAAAUCUUUCGGCUUAACCGGAAAAGUGCCCCUGAUACUGGCCGUCUAGAGGGAGGUAGGGGUCUGUGGAACUUCUGGUGGAGCGGUGAAAUGCGUUGAUAUCAGAAGGAACGCCGGUGGCGAAAGCGACGGACUGGACCUCUUCUGACGCUGAGGCGCGAAAGCUAGGGGAGCGAACGGG
rnacentral:rRNA from 1 species